CGGGGAGAGAGUGUGGGUAUUCAUACAGAGUGGCUUGUUCAGACAAUCAAAGGUCUGUGUUUUAAGAAGCUAUUUUUAGAAGAGUUGGAGUCUGGGCCAUUGAAUUAUAGAUUAAGAGAGCGUGCUAAUAUAUGUGAAUAAAUCAUGUCUAUUGUCUUUUGUGAGUUGGCUGUUACGAGGAAAUCAGAGACUAACUUCUAUAUCUUUUAACAGUGCUUAUUCAAAAAAUACAUAUAUAACAUUUAUUCAUGGAAAAUGUAUUUUCAUCAGAACAGUAUUGUACUAAUGUGAGUCCUGUGUGUGUUUUCAGGGACCGUCUGAUAAUAGAGCUGCUUGAAGUGUGACGGAGUGGCCCAAACCUACCGGGGGUAAAGGAUGGGUUGGCUGGCUGGCUUUACAGAUGGCCAUGGUCUGGUGUGUUCAUUAUGACAGCAGAUGUGAUUGUAGCUGGACCGUUGGACUGUAACUGUGAAUACCCCCAUCACUUCCUGCCAUCCUCUAAAGAAAGAACUUCUCACCUUUUGAGUCCUGUGAUGUUCAAGCCUUUCUUCAUUCUUCUUUGUGGUCCUGUGGGGAAUGGGAUGGUGCGCAUAGAGGGUGGUAAGCCGGAUGAGACAGAGAGAAGACUAACACUGACUGGACAACUGACUUGAAUGAGGGAAGAUGGGAGCGAGAUAAAGAGAUACUGUUUAGGGAAAGGGAGAUGUAUAUGAUUGAAACUGCACUAAAGAGGGGUUUUGUUGACUGGACAAAAUGAGCAGUGUCUAGGAGAUGUUAUUGUUGGCUUUGAUAUUUGUAAUUUUUUUUUUUAGCAACCAGUACUUCAGCACUGCCUUGAAUUUUACUUUCCUCUGUUAAUUGGUUUUUCAAUUUUACUUACUCUUCUUCUAUAGUCACUGUAAGUCCAGAAAUAAUUGAGCCUCUAGUUUUAUUUAUCUCUGUAUAAAUGUUGGUGAUCACUCAACAGUUCAGCUACAGCAGAGUUUCCCAAACUUGGUCCUUGGGAGCACAUUUAUUUUUUUGCCCAAACACUACACAGCUGAUUCAAAUGAUCUAAGCUUGAUGAUUAGUUGAUUAUUUGAAUCAGCUGUGUAGUGUUCGGGCAAAAAACCUAAACGUGCACCCCUUGGGGUCCUGAGGACUGCGUUUGAGAAACCCUGAGCUACACGCAAGAGACAAUACAAUGCACUAGCAGACAGCAAUGCUAAAAUCACACUGCCCCAGAAUAAAGAUAUUGACAGAGCUCUGUCAAAAUCAAUACUGCCCUGGCUGAAUCUACAAACCCAAUCAUAAGAGAAGCCUGUCACGCGAACGUUGCCUUACUAAGUCUGUCCCAAUGCAUUGAUAUGACCGGUCCGCCCAUCACCUAUAGCUUUCCAGCUACUGUGAUGUUGAGAUCAAAAAAAGGUGCCAGUGCAUUAAAGUUACUGCUGUGCUGGUUUAUAUCUGUGAAUAAAUUUUUAAAAAAGAUGCUGCUUCUGUAUUCUUGUAAAAGCUUAACAUUCAGCUGUAAUAUGAAAUAUACUGGCAAAUGCUAUAAAAUAAAUGUCAAUUUGAUCAAAUGCCUUGGAGGACACAGAGGUAGAUCUUGUGCUAGCUAGAGAGCCAAAUGAGGAGAUCUUUUCAUUCUUCUGAAUUUUUCAUAUUAACAAACAUGGUCACUACAUGCGUCUGAUAAGCUGCUAAAUAGCUAAGAACGGUGCUAUACCAUCCAAAGUGAAAUUGGAGGUGAUCUCCUACCAGCAGUGUAUGCACUUGUGUUGAAUGUUACCAAUUUGUUUUGGUUUGAAAAAUAAAGAUGGAAAGAAAUCUGGACUUACGGUGUUAUGAUCACUUUAACUUUUAUGAAAUAGUUUGAUCAUAAAGCACUGUUGUAUCAUCCUUUCUACACUUUCCAGAAUAAAUUCUCACUGAGGAAGACUGCUUACUUGUUUUUACUUCCACAUGAAAAGCUGUCACACCUGUAGAUUGAUUAUAGAACAAACAUGACAUGUUUGUAGCGAC
ensembl:lncRNA